CCUCUUCCCCUUGUCUCUCCA
rnacentral:miRNA from 1 species